rnacentral:rRNA from 1 species
AUUGAACGCUGGCGGCAUGCCUUACACAUGCAAGUCGAACGGCAGCACGGGUGCUUGCACCUGGUGGCGAGUGGCGAACGGGUGAGUAAUACAUCGGAACAUGUCCUGUAGUGGGGGAUAGCCCGGCGAAAGCCGGAUUAAUACCGCAUACGAUCUACGGAUGAAAGCGGGGGACCUUCGGUCCUCGCGCUAUAGGGUUGGCCGAUGGCUGAUUAGCUAGUUGGUGGGGUAAAGGCCUACCAAGGCGACGAUCAGUAGCUGGUCUGAGAGGACGACCAGCCACACUGGGACUGAGACACGGCCCAGACUCCUACGGGAGGCAGCAGUGGGGAAUUUUGGACAAAGGGCGAAAGCCUGAUCCAGCAAUGCCGCGUGUGUGAAGAAGGCCUUCGGGUUGUAAAGCACUUUUGUCCGGAAAGAAAUCCUUGGCCCUAAUACGGGCGGGGGAUGACGGUACCGGAAGAAUAAGCACCGGCUAACUACGUG